rnacentral:lncRNA from 7 species
UUUGUCCUGAGCUGUUCUGUGAGCUGUGCUCCUUCUGGGAUAUGUGAUAAGGAUAUGUCACAAGGAAAGCCUGGAAUACAAUGGGCUUGCAGCAUGGAUGCAGAUCUUCAGCAUAUCUGGAGGAGUUGAGAGACUUGAGAUUGCUCAGCCAACCUGUCCAUGAAGCCAAAAAAUGCCACUGAAACCCCUGGGGGUGCUCUGUCUCAACAGGAGCUCUGUUUCUGGGAUGAAGGAGCACUCAGCGUCCAUACCCUCAGUAUUUUGUGUUAGGAGGAAAUGUUCUUUCCUGACGUCUUUAAAUUUCACCCCUUAAUGGAGAGGAGAAGUAGGCACUGAUUGCAGUCAGUGUGCAGAUUGCUCCAUGUUGGUGCACUGUAGCUGCCUUCAAUUUCUGCACCUCACUGACCUGUAACCAUGUGGGACGGGGAAUGGAGAGCAUCUCUGUGUGCAGAAUGUGGUGGGUGAGUUCCUCCAGCACUUGCCUGCCCUGCUUCAUCCACCUGUGCCCAUGGAGCAGCCCCUGUUCCAACUCCUGCCUUGUGUGUUCCCAUCUCCUUUUCUUUUCUUUCCAUUGCAAGCUCAGUUUGUAGUUAUACAGUCAGGUCUCCACAGAGUAAUUUACUGGCAGAAUCUCUCCCAGAAUCCAGCUUGAAACCAAGCUGUAAAAACAGCUGAGAGUGUAAAUAAUUCAUGCAGACAAUAUGACUUUUUUAUGUAAAUUCGGUGCAUUAACCCUCUAUUAUAAUGAUGGACGACAGAUAUGGGCGACGUUGCCUUGGUAAGAGCUAAUGGAUGGCCACCAUAAAUUCACUGCACAUUUUAUUGUGUUGCUGGAAAUUGUGCCUUCAGGCAAUGCUGUUUACUUUUAUGUAAAACUCAGGGUUCCCUAAAUAUUACAAAUAUUUUACAUCAGACUCCUCAGCAUUUGGGCACAGCACACAAAUCAAGCUUUCUUCAUCUGAGUUGUAAUUAAAGGUUUGUUAUUUUUUUCGGGGACAAUUAUCUAAAACUAUAAAGAGAAAUAUUUUUUCCCUUUAGAUGUUCAGUCAUUGACUUAUUAGCAAAACCUUUGAAGAAAGAUAUUAAAUAACUGCAGCGUAUAACUUUGCAUUAGGCUGCGUGUCGUAUGCAUAGCAAAUUUGGAAAUAGUUCCUUGUUACUAGUUUUUAUUUUUUACCAUUCCUUGUGCUUAGUUACACAUAAAAUAUUCUUCCUCCCCCCCUUGCAUAUGCUUCUCUCUAUAAUUCAUUUCUGUUUUAUCAGGGUAAAUCUCUGAACCAUGUCCUUGAGGAAUUCAGUCUCAGUAAACAUGGAAACUUUCGUUCAUUUCAGGGGAUUCUGAAGAUUGAUAUUCUUUUUUUGUUACUUUUGGGUUUCGUGACUGUUUUGCAUGGACCUUCAGUGGGUAAAUUGGGAUGAUGCACAUGAUUUGCUGAAAACAAAUGAGUUUCAUAUGUUUAAAAGCGUAUAUUUAAAAACUACAGAGGAAAAAAAAUAUAUAGCCAUCAUUGCGACUAUGCAAUUAAUUCCCCUUAAUCAAACAUUCAGUUUAAUCUCAUUGUACACCUCAGCGUUGGGAAAAGAAAACAAAAGGUGAAAAGGCAGUUGUAUGUAGCAAAGGAUCCUACUGCUUCCAACAGAGGGAAUGGAAUCCCAUUUGUAACAAAGGCAGGAGGUGCUGACAGCGGUGACAUCCCUGUCCCUGUCCCAUUGGUUGCCUGGAGGAUCCAAUGACCCAAACGGUCUCUGGUAGAGCUCUGCAUGGGGACUCAUCAGAAGCCCUCUUGGAAUCAGCAUAGGGAAUGGCAUAGGUUAGUUGUGCCAAGGCAUGUCCUCCCCAUCUCCUUUCAGAGGAAGACACCUCUCAUUUCUGGCAAUCCUUAUUUUGAUAUCUGUAUGGAGAAAAGUCUGCAUGAGGUUGAAUAGGAGUGGUUUCAGUGCAGCAAGCUUGAGGAGAAGACUUCUUCUGUGGGAACUAAAUAGAAGUAGCAUUGCAAGAGGUUCUUUGUUUUGGUUUUUACAAAGCACUGAAUAAGAGGAAUGCAACAGCUACCAAAUAAAUAAAUAAAAA